UGCCAGUUGCCCUGUGGAGCGGCCAGGGAAGGCCUGCCCUAGUUUCACCCACCCCAUCCAUCUCCCUGGGCACACCUGCUCCUGCCAUCGGCACUCCUACUAUCAUGGCUGCAUCUGGGGUUUGGAGUUCACAGAAACCUCUUAAAAAGGCACCCAAUUGCUCAACUUUGCUAAGCAGAUGAAGAGUGAAAUAAAUGUUGCUUCACCAGCUGGGCUGGAAACCAAAUGAAAAUGCAGCAUCUCCAGGCAAUUUCCUUAAAAUGGAUCAACUUGAAACAUUCUCUAUCACAGGACCAGUAGACAGGAGAGGAGCCAAAGAAGGAAGGACUGUGCGUGUCGGAGCAGACAAAGAAUUAAUAAAAGGGUCACUGAACCUGCUCUGAAUCUCAGAUGCAUCCUUCGUGAAGUGAAAAAAGAUUCCCCUGAGCUGCUAAGAGCAAGGAAACACAAUCCGGGCUGAGCUGGAAACUCUAGAUCUGCUACAACCUGGUUAAUUGCUACUGGGCAGAGAGGCAAAGAAUAGAUAAAAAUUUGCAGCUGUAAAAAAAAAAAAAGAAAUCUGAAAGGGAUAGAGCAGCUUAGUAAAAAGAAAGCUGGAAUCUGAAGCCACCUCCAUUCAUUCAUGGAACACCUAUGAGGCGCCUAUUCCCAUAGUGUCACAAGCACUGACUGUCGUAGGUCCAGGGAGACACAGGUCCCUCAAAGAGCUUACUCCUAGAGUAGCAGGUUUAUAUUUGUAAUUAUAAACAAAUAACUACAGUAAAAUGUGGCAAGUGGCAAGAAAGAGAAAGGCACAAAGCACUAUGGGUGCACCCAGGGCAGGAAGGUCCUGGCGGGUGAUGGGCAGCUCCCUGGGGGCAGCAUGGGGAACAGCAGAGGGAACAGCAUAUGUGAAGGCCGAGGGGCCAAUCAUCUUGACCUGGAAGGUGAAUCACAAGCAUUCCUACCUCGCUGAAGCACAGUGUGAAGGAAGGGAGAGGCGAGAGACAGGGCUUGGAAGGCAGGCUGAAGCCAGUUGUAAGGGACCUCUGAAUCAUGUGCAGAAGUAUCUGGGAUUUCUCCAUGAGGAAUCAUCGAAGCCUUCUUCAAGUAAGGGAGUAACUGAGAUCAAACCUGUGGUUUAAACAAAACAAAACAAAACAAACCUGUCAUUUUUCGUUUGCUUUCCUUUUGUUUAUUUAAAUAAACUAGUUUUGAAAAGCA
rnacentral:lncRNA from 1 species